ACUCGGAAAGAAGGUUGUCUGGCUCAGGCCCACACUGCAUUUGCAUGGGCAAGACAGACGUGUCCACUGGCCAGUGCAUUCCAUGGUUUCCACAACAGAUGCACAGAAUUUCUCUGAACGCUGUGAUGCAACUCAGCCCUGUUACAACCUGCAAUAGGUUUCACAAACCAGGCCAUGGCUUUUUGAGGGACAAAUUCUGGACCAUUUUAGCCAAGCUCAGUUGCAGUUUGUUCCAUAGUGACAGCAGGCUCUGGGCUUCCUCCUGCAGUGUGGUAUAACUUUGUGUUUCCAUCUCAUUUCUACUGUGGUCCUGAAACAAUAGAGGAAUUUUUUUUUUUUACUUUCAGUCUACACAGAAGCAAGUGGAGAAAGGGCUACAUUUGCAAAGCCAUUGAAUCAGCCAGUGGAAGAACUGGGAUGAAAUGUCACAGGUUGCUAGACAGGAUGCCUUAUCUUUGAGUUCAGAGGUUUUCCUUGUGAAUGUGCUUUUAAUGUUCAUGGGCUUGUUGCAGUGCUGCCAACAGUGUUAAAAAUAACAGAGCAAGACUGACAAAGAAAGAAGCAAAGAAAGAAUGUGUACUGUUGCUCACCUUCUAGCCAAUAGACUACAAAGGAAUGGCUUGCCAGGAUAUUCACUUUCCUCCUGAGUGUGAUUUAUUUUUCAUGUGUAUCUGAUGUUGCUUCUUCCUUGGAUGUGGUUGUAACCUGCAGCAUCUUAUCAGCAAAAGCAACCUGAGAUUUAUUUAAAAGCUAUGCCAGCGGAUCAGAAAACUCCUUAGCCAGUUCUUUUGAAACUCAUGACUGCAGUGCACAUUUGUUCUUUGGUACCCUGAGGACAAAGCAUGGAUGUUGGAGGUAAGACACUUGGCAUAAAGCAGUGUGUGCAGCUCAAACAAGGUCUGUCUAUCAUGUAUUCAUGGUAGAGUACACACAAGUCAUGCAGCUUCAUCAAAACUUGUAUCCUCUCUCCAGUCACAAAGCUGUCAGUAUUGCUUCCCUUGCUUGUUCUUGCACUUCAGAGAAGAGGAGGAGGAUGGCUAAAGGUGUGCUUGGACACUUCGCUGAUUGCUCUCUUCCCAUAUUUCUACUUGUUUGGUUUUGGUUUUUGUGUUUGUUUUUUUUCCUAGGCCUGUUUUUGUGUUUUUUGCUCCCUGUUCAUUCAUAUCUGUGAAAUGCCCUUUGCAGAGAAGAGGAGAGGGGUGGUUGUGUCUCUGGUCCCUGCACUCACCAGACGUGCUGCUCCUUAAGCGCCAAUGCAGAUGUUCCAGACUGCUGAAGCUUUGUGCUCUGCAUGAAAGAUGGAAAUUAUGCAAAAACCCCGCCUUGGCCAAAGGACCACAGUAAAAACCCUUAAAGAUGAAAGGGAGAAUUUUGGACUUCAAAAACAGGGCUGUAAAUUCUGGCAAUCUUUAAAAAUGUAAAAUAUGUACAUAUCUGUGUAAAAGCUUUCUGACAACACUGCUCAUAAAGGGGAAAGUAGAGUGACUGAAAUAAGCAGAUGCCUGUUUAAAACUGAUAGGUUAAAUAGUGGAGGCUGAGACAGCUUCUGGAAUCAGAAAUUAGUAUGUUCAAAGUGGAAAUAUGUAAAAUAGAUCUUAUCCAAGCAGCCUUGGAUACAAGGCAGAUGAGGUUCUAAACAAAGUGCAUAAAGCACUAUAUGUAUAUACAGUAUAUAUAGUAUGUCAAUAAAACAACCUUCAGUAUGGAAUUUCAUUUGGUGUCACUAUAUGUUUUCAUGCAGAAACUAGCAUUAUGAAAAAUGAAUGCAACUUAUAUUAAGUAUUUUAAAAAUUAAAUGAUAAAUUGGAAAUACUAUAAAUCUUGACUCUUUGUUAAAUAACUGAGUUUUAUCUGGAGCCCUGCAUGGUUCAGUUUUCAGAAUUAAACUAUUUGGUAUUAGUAUCAAUGUUCAAGGGAAAAAAAAUGCACUAACCACUGACAAAGACUGGAUAUGACACAAAUAUUAUGGAGUGGGAGAAAAAAAAAGGCAGGAAGAUAAAAUAGUGAUGCAGACCAGAUUGCCUGGUGAAACAGAUGCUAGCAACAUAUUAGGAAGUAAAGGCAAACUUGUGGAGAAAAAAAAAAGAAAAAAAAAAAAAAGAACAAAGCCAUACAGACAGAAUAUACUCAAUGUGUACUUUGGAUGGUAUUUGGGACCACAGUGGGUACACAGUCCAGCAGAGGUUCCCUGAAGACCUCCAGAAAGGAUUGCAGGGGUGAACUAGAAAUGAGAAAACUGAAUACAGGUAUGGUAUUUGCUGACAAUGUGACCAUAACAUCUAUAUUGCCAUGUGUCCACAAGACCAGCUGGGGACAUUGAAUAGCAGAAAAAGUCUCAUAGGAUAAUCUAGAGGAUGGUUAAAAGGCUGGAAAACUUGCACCAGAGCAUAAGACUAUAAAAUAACUCAGUUUCCUGAAGGAUUUUAUAAAGAUGACUGUCCGUACCUCUCCAGAUUGAGAACUUUUUUUGUUCUGUUUGGGAUUUUUAUCUGUUGGAUAAAGACAUCAGAGCAUCCAAUGUCUGGAAAUACAAAUAUGGUAACUUCAGACCAAAAAGAAGACACACGUGUUUUUUACCAGAGAGGGACAGAUAAUCACCAAAGGUAUAGAUGUGGUGGCUAUACAAGGUUCUCUAUCACUGCCAAUUUGAAAAAUAAAGAUUGACUGUCUUAAGGACAUGUGCCUUACUUCCAAAGGAAGUAAUUCAGGGAAGUAGUGGUCUGGCCUUGCCCUCCUAAGGUCAGGAUUGAUGUGCAGCCUGCUCCCCUCUGGCUUCAUAAACCUUGAAUCUGUUCCUUAAUUCUUUCAUGGAGAGGUCUGUUCUUUUGGGCUUUACUUUUCCUAUUGAAUUGAAAUUAGACAUGAUUGCAUUUGUAGCAUUAA